rnacentral:rRNA from 1 species
GAAUAUUGGUCAAUGGGCGAAAGCCUGAACCAGCAACGCCGCGUGAGGGAUGAAGCACCAAGGUGUGUAAACCUCUGUUAGAGGGGACGAACGACUCCGAUUAUUCGGGGUGUGACGGUACCCUCAGAGAAAGCCCCGGCUAACUCCGUGCCAGCCCCCGCGGUAAGACGGGGGGGGCAAGCGUUGUCCGGAAUUAUUGGGUGUAAAGGGCGCGUAGGCGGAUUUGUAAGUCAGUGGUGAAAUCUCGGGACUUAACUCCGAGUCUGCCGCUGAGACUGCAUUUCUUGAGUGUGGAAGAGGAAAUCGGAAUUCCCGGUGUAGCGGUGAAAUGCGUAGAUAUCGGGAAGAACACCAGUGGCGAAGGCGGAUUUCUGGUCCAUAACUGACGCUGAGGCGCGAAAGCGUGGGUAGCAAACAGG